rnacentral:tRNA from 1 species
UCGCGUUUGGUGUGCGGCGCCCGGACGGCGGUCUGGCCCGCCGCGAGGACGGCCGCAUCUUCUAUGGUCGGCUGUUCGAUUCGAUCGACAGGAAC